CGAGGGCAGGGGGCGGGAGCCGCUCCUCAGGCCGGGAUCGCUUCCCCCGGCAUCCCCGGCCCUUGGGCAGCCUCCCCUGCCCCGGGCUCCCUUCCCCUUGCGGGGGGAAGGCAGGCAGCCUUCUGUUCCUCUGGACAGGCUUCUCUCGGGAGAUUCGAACUCCUCGAGCAAUGGAAUUUCUUGAAUGUCAUCAAAAGAAGUCAGACCCAGAUGUGGACUGUUCCUGCUUGACAUAUCAGGAGUGAAGCUAGCUUUCUGUGGUUUCCCAUGCUGCAGUGAGAGAAGGAUUAAAAACUAAGGUAUCUUGUUUCUUAUCAAAUGAGUUCAAGCUUCAUGGAGCAUAAGAUGGAGGAAAGCUGAGCUGGUGUGGCGCAUGACUACAUACUGAGUAUGAUCAAAUGCGUGAGAAAUUGGUGAUUCUGGACAGUAAAUAAGAUGCCCUUCUCUUCACAAAGCACUGCCCAAGUGCGGUAAU